CAGCCGCCGCGGUAAUACGGAGGGUGCAAGCGUUAUCCGGAUUUAUUGGGUUUAAAGGGUCCGUAGGCGGACUUAUAAGUCAGUGGUGAAAGCCUGUCGCUUAACGAUAGAACUGCCAUUGAUACUGUAAGUCUUGAGUAUAUUUGAGGUAGCUGGAAUAAGUAGUGUAGCGGUGAAAUGCAUAGAUAUUACUUAGAACACCAAUUGCGAAGGCAGGUUACCAAGAUAUAACUGACGCUGAGGGACGAAAGCGUGGGUAGCGAACAGGAUUAGAUACCCCCAGUAGUCCCUGUCUCUUAUA
rnacentral:rRNA from 1 species